GUGAAUUUAGAGGUCGAAAGACGACCUUCCUCUUCACCAUCUUUCUGACCUCCGAUUGGAGUUCCUCUGGCCGCUUCACCGCAGGCUCUGGCUUCCUUUUCUCCAGGUACCUUUCUAUGGAGAGAUUAUGGACGUUUGCUGGUGAUGGUGGAUGGCGUGUGAGGCUCAGCUUAAGCACUUUUGGACUAACUCUGAAAACAAGAACCUGUACUGCUCUAUAAACAUUUGUGAACCACGUGGGAUGAAUUGGAGGGAUACAGGCAUGGAUGACCUGUAAUGCUUGCCCAUAGGCUGUGCAGGGGCUGGCUGUGGUCAGGACUCAGCAGGUGAAGGUGCCUGCUGCCCAGCCUGAUGAUCCGAGUCCACUUUCUGGAAUCUCCAUGGUUGACUGCCUCCAAGAGGUACAGUAUACACUUAUCAAGUAAUGGUACGGUUUACUGCUUAGCUAGCCAAUCCUGGAGCCCUGGAUAAUGUGUGCACUGGGAGGAGUCCUGACAGGUGACUUGCCCAAAGUCACAUGGCACAUGUUUUAGAUCUGUCCUUUGUUGAGGGCUAUGGUGCUCUGGCCACCCUGUAAUGUAAUGGCCACUCUGUUGCAU
rnacentral:lncRNA from 1 species